CGGGUGUAGUUCAAUGGCAGAACGGCAGCUUCCCAAGCUUCAUACGAGGGUUCGAUUCCCUUCACCC
rnacentral:tRNA from 1 species